rnacentral:rRNA from 1 species
GAUGAACGCUGGCGGCGUGCCUAAUACAUGCAAGUCGAGCGAACGGACGAGAAGCUUGCUUCUCUGAUGUUAGCGGCGCACGGGUGAGUAACACGUGGAUAACCUACCUAUAAGACUGGGAUAACUUCGGGAAACCGUAUCUAAUACCGGAUAAUAUUUUGAACCGCAUGGUUCAAAAGUGAAAGACGGCCUUGCUGUCUCUUAUCGAUGGAUACGCGCUGCAUUAGCUAGUUGGUAAGGUAACGGCUUACCAAGGCAACGAUGCAUAGCCGACCUGAGAGGGGGAUCGGCCACACUGGAACUGAGACACGGUCCAGACUACUACGGGAGGCAGCAGUAGGGAAUCUUACGCAAUGGGCGAAAGCCUGACGGAGCAACGCCGCGUGAGUGAUGAAGGUCUUCGGAUCGUAAAACUCUGUUAUUAGGGAAGAACAGAUGUGUAAGUAGCUGUGCACAUCUUGACGGUACCUAAUAAGAAAGCCACGGCUAACUACGUG